rnacentral:rRNA from 1 species
UGGGGAAUAUUGGACAAUGGGCGAAAGCCUGAUCCAGCCAUGCCGCGUGUGUGAAGAAGGUCUUCGGAUUGUAAAGCACUUUAAGUUGGGAGGAAGGGCAGUAAGCGAAUACCUUGCUGCUUUUACGUUACCGACAGAAUAAGCACCGGCUAACUCUGUGCCAGCAGCCGCGGUAAUACAGAGGGUGCAAGCGUUAAUCGGAAUUACUGGGCGUAAAGCGCGCGUAGGUGGUUCGUUAAGUUGAAUGUGAAAGCCCCGGGCUCAACCUGGGAACUGCAUCCAAAACUGGCGAGCUAGAGUAGGGCAGAGGGUGGUGGAAUUUCCUGUGUAGCGGUGAAAUGCGUAGAUAUAGGAAGGAACACCAGUGGCGAAGGCGACCACCUGGGCUCAUACUGACACUGAGGUGCGAAAGCGUGGGGAGCAAACAGG